GUGUUUAUGUUAAAAACACAUUAAACUUAUAUAUUUACAAAAAAAAUAAUUAAAUGCUAAUUUUGAGAAUUUAAGUUAUUAAUUUUUAGAUAAUAUUAUAAUUUUUUUAAAAAAAAUUUAAUGCUAAAACUCAUCAACUAUGUUUACUUACUGUAUAAAUUCCAAAACUAAAGAUUUACCGGUAGUAAUGAUAAUUAUGACAUGUUAUGGUUUAAUUUAUUAAUUAAAGUUGGUUUGAGAGUUUUUUCGUUAAAUACUUAGUUUGAAAGUGUUUAUCCAAAACAAAUUUAGUUGAGAGGUUUUAACGUUAAAAAUCCAAUAUAUAAGGGAUUAUGUUUUCAUAGUAUAAAUUUUUAAAUGUUUUAAUAAAUGUAUUAUCAUAAAUAGGCUAAAUUUUAGGGUGUUUUGUUAUUGAUAUUAAAUGUGUUAGGUUCAAGAUUAAUGUUGUUGUGAAAUUAAUUAUACUAUAUAGUUUUUUUAAUACUUCACCUGAAAGGAAGUUGUAUCAAAAAUAAUCUUUCUGUUUAAUAAAAUAGAUAGAUGACACAACAUAAACAUGAGGAGGAGAGUAUUCUUGCCAAAAAGGACAAAAAGGUUUUUGUCAAUAUUCUUGUUUUUUCUUGAAGCUUUCUAGUUUCUGAAUUUUUCACGUGAUUAAUUAUUUGGGUUUAUGAAACUUCAUCUCACCCAUCUAGACUCUAUAGUCUAUAUAAAUACACACAUUUUACCAACAGUGCAUACUACGCUUAUGAUAAAAAAGAAACAUAUUAAGCUAAAAAAAUUUAAGAGCAAGAAACAAAAAGAUACAAUGAAGUUCGAGAAUUGUUCCUCUUCGGAUCUCUACGUUCUAGCGGAGGAGAUCAAGAAAGAAACAUUUGAAUUAGAUACCUUUAGUAUAAAUCCUUACUCAUUUGUCUGUGCCUCAGCUUACGACACAGCUUGGCUAGCAAUGAUAGAAGAUCUCUGUGGUGUCAAUACUCAACAACCUUUGUUUCGUGGGUGUAUAGAUUGGAUUCUGAGCAAUCAGAACGUUGUUGAGGGAUUGUGGGGUAAUCACGGAGAUGAAAACGAAGGUGAAACUCUCACUUCGACACUCGCUUGUGUUGUAGCACUUCGCAAAUGGAACAUUGGAAGUCUUCAUAUCAGCAAAGGAAAGAGAUAUAUCGAAAGAAGUAUGGAGAGGAUUAUUGGGGAAUAUUGUAAGAGGGGCUCUUGUCCUCGUUGGCUCGUCCUUAUGUUCACUGGACUCCUCGAGCUUGCUCAACAACUUGGCUUACACUUUUUUUUCUCUACUCGAGUUAAGCAAAUGAUCAACGACUUAUUCUUCCGACGUCAAGAGAUUCUCCACCAGGAAUUGCUCGUUGAUGACCGUUGCAACCGGCAGCCUUUACUUGCAUACCUCGAAGUAUUACCAUUGACAUUAUACGCUGAAAAUCAAGAAGACAUCAUUGGGAAACUCGAUGAUUUAGAUGGCUCUUUGUUUCAAUCACCUUCAGCAACUGCAGCAGCGUUUAUGCUCUCACGCCAUACAAAAUGUCUGGCUUAUCUGCAAUCUCUACUUCAGAGAUGCCCUCAUGGAGUGCCACAAAUUUACCCCCUGAGUGAAGAAUUCAUGAAGCUCUCUUUGAUCAAUAUAAUGCACAACUUCGGGUUAGGAGAGUACUUCAGUAAAGAGAUUGAUCAUUUUCUUUUUCAAAUUCACAAGAGCUAUGAAAGCGAGGAUGUUGAGAGAAUGCCGAUAUGGUCAAAAGUAGAUCAGUUGCACAAAGACUCCCUCAAAUUUCGAUUGUUAAGGAUGAACGGCUACAAUGUUUUACCUGGUAAAGAAAUAAUUCUCAAGUGUAUAUAUACACACAAAUAUUAUACAAUCACUAUUUACUUUUCAUACAAAUUUUAUGCAGAGAGCUUUUGCUGGUUCUUGAAUGACGAAGAAAUCCAAAAUCAUCUAAAGACAAACAUUGAACAUUUAUUCUUAGUGAUGCUUAGUGUUUACAGAGCAACUGAUCUCAUAUUUCCAGAAGAGUCUGAGCUCGAAAAAGCAAAAGAAUUUUCGCGGAAAUUCCUUGAGAAAAAUGAAUUUAUGGAUGAAAAAAUGGUUUCGAGUUCUCACAUUAAACAUGAAAUGAGUACUCCAUGGAUGGCUAGACUCAAGCAUCUUGAUCAUAGGAUGUGGAUUGAGGACAGGGAUUCAAAUGUUAUCUCAAUUGGAAAAGCCUCUUCGAUUCGUAUACAUGCUGACAAGCUUACUCAUCUUGCUUCGAGGAAUUUUGAACUUCGACAAGCUGUAUACAGACGUGAGAUGGAGGACUUGACAAAGUGGGUGAAGAAAUGGGGACUUAGCGAUAUCGGAUUUGGAAGAGAGAAGACAACGUAUUGUUACUUUGCAGCUUCAUCAAGUACCUCGUUGCCCUUUGAAUCUGCAGCUAAUGUUCGUAAGCUUAUGGCAAAAAGUGGCAUUCUUAUCACAGUUGCUGAUGAUUUCUUCGAUGAAGAAGGUUCUCCUGAUGAGUUAGAAGCUCUUACUGAAGCUGUGCUAAGAUGGGAAGGAAAAGAGCUGAAAGGUUACGGCAAGAUCAUAUUCAAAGCACUUGAUAAUCAUCUAAAAGAGACCGCUGAGACUUACCGUAACCAACACGGGACCGACAUAACAAACCAUUUUCGCAACAUCUGGGGAGAAACAUUUGAGUCGUGGUUAUGUGAAGCCAAAUGGAGUAAGAAGGGGCACAUACCGUCGAUGGAAGAAUAUCUUCGAAACGGAAUAAUUUCAACCGCAGCACACACCAUUGUUCUUCCCAUUUCAUGUCUCAUGGAAUCUAGUUUUCCCCAACAAAAACUCAAACCCGGAAAUUACGAUAACAUAACAACAUUGCUCAUGACCAUUACCCGACUCCUUAAUGAUCUACAGAGUUACCAGAAAGAGCGAGAACAAGGCAAGAUCAAUUCCGUGCUGCUCAACAUGAGGAGUCAUUGUAGUUUUAAGAUAGAGGACUCGAUUCCUUAUAUCAAAAAGAUCAUUGAAUCGAAGAGGAGAGAAUUUGUGGAGUAUGUCCUAAUGGAUGAACUCAGUGAUUUGCCUAAACCGUGCAAAGAUAUACACAUGUCUGUUUGCAAAAUUUUUGAUAUGUUUUUUAACAAGAAGAACCGUUAUGAUUCGGACACGGAGAUGCUUCAAGACAUUAAGAAGGCUCUUUACGACCCCGUUAACAUUCGUAGACUCUCCUAGCUUGAUCCAGCGUUCUGGUGAAUUCUGUAAUAUAAAUUUAUGUAUGCGUUGUUGAAUAAUCAUCAUCAUGUGGCAUUUAAGAUCUUUUUACUUGACACAAUGAGAUUAUUUUAAGGCUCUUUGAUUUUCGAGUUUUAAAAAUUAGCAACAAUGUAAAAUCAAAGUGUAUUAUAGAUUUAAGAAAACUUUUUUGUUUCUAUCCAA